GGUAGGGUGGCUUAGCAAGUGGUGGGUUGUAGCCCCAUAAACAGAGGUUUAAGUCCUCUUCCUACCA
rnacentral:tRNA from 1 species